rnacentral:rRNA from 1 species
CUUCGGUACAUCGGUGGACAGGUGGUGCAUGGUUGUCGUCAGCUCGUGUCGUGAGAUGUUGGGUUAAGUCCCGCAACGAGCGCAACCCCUAUUGUUAGUUGCCAUCAUUCAGUUGGGGACUCUAGCGAGACUGCCGGUAAUAAACCGGAGGAAGGUGGGGAUGACGUCAAAUCAUCAUGCCCCUUAUGACCUGGGCUACACACGUGCUACAAUGGUUGGUACAACGAGUUGCGAGUCGGUGACGGCGAGCUAAUCUCUUAAAGCCAAUCUCAGUUCGGAUUGUAGGCUGCAACUCGCCUACAUGAAGUCGGAAUCGCUAGUAAUCGCGGAUCAGCACGCCGCGGUGAAUACGUUCCCGGGCCUU